rnacentral:lncRNA from 1 species
GGCUCAGGGUGGCCUAACAUACUUCAGAGGUGGGGAGAAGGGUCUUACUGUCACCCAGGGACAUGCUGAGAAUCAAAAGGCUAGUGUUUUCCUGACCGUUUUUAGCCACUCCUCUUCAGUGGUAGCCCAUUAGAAAACUGCUCCUUUUUAGUCACCCUUUCCUUCCUUUCAUUCGGAUAAGUGACUUUUGCUCUCUCAGACUCUGUCGCCCAACUGGAAGCCCUGGUCUAGGAGACAACCUGACCUCCCUACCACUCCCCGUACUUGUGCAGUUCCUGCAGAAUUGCAUCAACUCAGAUAAAGCCUCACUGCCCUCCCAGAUGAAUAGUCACGUUGCUCCAGGUCCCCAGAGGUCAUCGCCUGCCUAAACCACCUCCACAUCUCAGAAAAUGCUUCACACAGAAGUUUGGAAUCCUGGGAAUCAGUUCUCAUUUUAUUGUACAGUACAUUCAUGUAAGUUCCUGCAUUUCCAAGGUAACCAGAUCACAUUCAGGUUAGCUCUGCUGGUAACAAAAUCAUACAACUACCCUGGCUUAAAAACAAGAUAAGGUGAUACACAUUAAUACUUCUUUCCCUUUAAUACUGCAGAAGACAAUACAUCACAAAAUAAAUCUUUAAAAUCACAUGCCUUGUACAAUCCAGUGUGAAGGCAUUAUAAUUACGUUAAAAUUAGACCUUAUAGGACAUAAGUUUCGAAAUCCUCUAAAAUUUCCCCCAGUGCCAUCUUCUAAUUGCCAGGGGGUGGGGGGAGACAGACACUCAGCUUCAAUGCCUCGAGAAGGAAGGGUGGGAAAGCAAAGGGUCAUUUGAUUCCAAAACUCAUGGCUUGUCAGGCUAUUCCUAUAAAAAAUUACUUAAAUAACCUAAAAUUUUAAACAGUUAAUGUGAAUAAGGGAUGGUAAUAGGGGAAGCACCUGGGAAAACUUUCACUAGUCAUGGAUGGGAAAUUUAACCUGCAGACAUCCCACAGGAAAAGAAAACAAGGAAAAUCUGAAUCACACCCCAUAAUAUGCCAAGUUCUCAAGGUACAUUUCAUUGUACUAAAUGAAUACACAGUGAUCUGUGUUCUGAAUAAUUCAGAAAAACAAAUCAGAAGGUGUUUUGUGUCUUCAGUGGGAGAAGGGCAGUUUAACAUCCGUGUAUAUGAACAAACUGCCAAUUAAAUGAAGAGUGUUUUAAAUCUAUCCUUGCUAAAAAUCCCAGAAUAUAGCAUAAAAAUAGACUUAUGUGUUUUUCUGGAAGAAUUCUGAUUUUUUUGGCAAAAAAAAAAAAGAAAGAAAGAAUUGUUUUUAAACAGAAGAGAAAAAACUCUACUGAAGAGGUGGACAGUGCUCCUUCCUAGUCCCCAGCAUAACGUUCUAUAAUCUCAUCGUUAAAUAAAAUGAUGGUCUAAAAGUCUGGACACUAACAAUCUCUCAAUUGAGAAAAUCAUAUUUAUGUCCUCUGUUCUCAAUUUACAUGUAAAGCACUUAUAAUUUUUGAAGAUCAGUCCUUUUGUUUUCUUUUUUUUUUUCAAUCAGACAAUUUCUAUCAAUCUAUUGUCCUGACACUUCUGUUCUUAGUGGUUCAUUUAAUUCAAGGCUACUGCCUUAAAUCUAUUAGCACAAACAAGAAAAUGAAACAGUAGGUUUCUAACCUAUAGUCAAGACCAUUUGAUUCUGUUACAAAUAUAUUUCUCAACCUAAAACAACACCCAUGAGGCUCCACUUAAAAAUCAUGGCAGUUUUAAGUGUCAAAGCUAAAUUUAUCCCACUUGAGAUAAUCAAUUACAAGGAACCAAGCCCAUGAUAUUUAUUAAUGUGCAGUACACCAAUGAAUAUAAAUCUCCUUAAUGACUCUAAACAACUAAAAUUCAAAGAAAACACAAGCUCAAUUCAAAAUCAAUUCCAACAUGCAUUGUAAUUAGAAAACUUUACCAUUUUCUUCCAUAUCAGCUUUCUCUGCUUUUGAAUGAUCUUCCCGGUUUACCAGUUGUCUAGUAGCACAGACCUGCUUUAGGCCAAGGAAAAGGAAAAGAAUUGAGGGAACAAUUUGUCCCACCACAGCUUCUACUGCAGGAGGUCGAUUUUGUAAUUCCAGAAGGAUGCUCAGUCCUAUUAUACACAUCUUCCGGUCAUGAUGCCUGUAAAUUGUGAAGAAAAAAAUUGAAAAAUCCAAAUUGUGAAGAAAAAACAUGAAAAAUGCAGUGAAGGGGGUGGGGAUGUAGACCAGUGGUAGAGCACCUGCCUAGCAUGCGUAAGUCCAAGUUCAAUCCCCAGUACCACACACACACAAAAAGCAAUA